rnacentral:snoRNA from 1 species
UAGGCUCCUCAACCCAAGAACUGCUGUUUCCUGUAACAGUGGUUUCAACAGGGGUGCACACAGCAAGUGGAUCUCGUCGCCUUUGGGGGACCAGGGCUGUGCCCCUCCAAGUGAAUUCAGAGGUUCCACAUCC